rnacentral:ncRNA from 1 species
GGAAAUACUAUGACAAAGGAAAGUAGGAUAAAGGAAGAUAACAGAGAGGAAGGGAUGGUGAAAGCCUUCUAUCUAGAAUUUAUUUGAAGUGCCCUUUUGAGUAGAAAGCCGAAAUUUUCAGUAGGCUUCUCCGGAUUGGCCCGUUACAGCCAUAUGACAUGAUAGUGUCAGAAUUUAAGUGGGAUUUUAUAUCCAAAUAGGGUGGAACCGCGGAGUACAUAAUCUUCGUCUCUAAU